rnacentral:rRNA from 1 species
AUUGAACGCUGGCGGCAGGCCUAACACAUGCAAGUCGAACGAGUGGCGGACGGGUGAGUAAUGUCUGGGAAACUGCCCGAUGGAGGGGGCUAACUACUGGAAACGGUAGCUAAUACCGCAUACCAUCGGAUGUGCCCAGAUGGGAUUAGCUAGUAGGUGGGUUAACGGCUCACCUAGGCGACGAUCCCUAGCUGGUCUGAGAGGAUGACCAGCGACACUGGAACUGAGACACGGUCCAGACUCCUACGGGAGGCAGCAGGGGGGAAUAUUGCACAAUGGGCGCAAGCCUGAUGCAGCCAUGACGCGUGUAUGAAGAGGGCCUUCGGGGUGUAAAGUACUUUCAGCGAGGAGGCGUUACUCGCAGAAGAAGCACCGGCUAACUCCGUGCCAGCAGCCGCGGUAAUAC